ensembl:lncRNA
GUUUAGGAUGUAAGACUAUUGUAAUUGUCUUAAAUUUCAAAGUUUGUUAGUAAUUUUUAAUAAAUGUUAUAGCCCAUUAUUUGAACAGCGGAUGUAGACACUACAGACGUAGUACUGCGGUUCGAGUAGCGCCCUUCUUCCUCCGAGAAAAGCGGGAACGGCUGUUAACAGACUGGAGAAUGGAGCUGCACUGUUAGCUCACCGCUAGCUAUCUGGAUUGGCUAGCAGUUAGCUAACUAAAGUUUUUUUCUGUGUACCGUUAGCCUGAAGAUGAACCUUGCUCACUAAUAUCAAAUCUCCUUGUAAGCCCUGCUGCCUUUGUGAGCUAGCUAAAAGUAAGAUAUCUGACUUUUGCUGGGACACCCUUGGAGACCUUAGCUAGCUAACUAAGCUACAUAUCUGGAACCCACUCCCUCAGAUGUCCGUUAUGGAAAAACUGGACGCAGUAUCAGCGGCUACCUUACAAGCAGGGGCAGCAGGCAGCAUCCCCCAAUCAAGAGAAUGGUUCGAAUGGCAGAGGGCUGGCCACUGUACAAGUCAACCCUUGUGUUUCAGAAACUCCUCGGUCUCCUGAUGUGCAAGAGACUCCGAGAACCUGGCAGCUACCCAACCCUGAGUAUGUUGUGUAUACUGACAGUGAGCUGGAACAUAUUAGAAAGCAGUAUUUUGAAAUGCAGCUUGUUGGCCAAGAAGGUGGAUGCACUCUUUCAAAAGAACUUCGCUGCCGAUUAGUGAGGAACACGGUGACCAACAUGGUGUCCAUCAUCAGAGCAACUACUACUGAAUUUAUGUAUCCAUCCAAAAAUGAUUUCCAGGCUAUGGCAAAGCGGCUUGUGGAGUAUUAUCCAAUGCUUCGUGAUAACUCUGUGAACUGCAGACACCCUUGGGUAAGUGUUUGUUCCAUUUGUGAACCAACUUUUCAUUAAUAUCACACUGUAAAGUUUCACUGAUGAAAAA